GAAAAGAAAAAGGGGUUAAAAACAAAAGAACGAAUACAAGUGAGAGGGGUUAUUUUCGUGCAGGGGAGAAAAUGGAACCAAAUCCCUAAUCUUCUACUUCUCCUCUUCUCCUCUUCAUUCGGCGCCAGCGAAGAUAACCAUGGCUGGAACUGAGCUGGCCGUGCCGACACGGCAAAUGGUGAAACCCCAAGGUCAUCUUCUCCUUGGCUUCUAGUAGCUCGCGAUUGAGAGCGAAGCGCCGCUGGUUCAUGACGGACCCGGUUCACGACGGCGUGGAUCCUCCAUUGACGGCGACUCGCGAUGACUCUCGGUGGUGAUGGAGGUUCGUGAUGAUGAAAAAGGAUCACAACCAUAGGUGAUUCACGGCCUGAUCGAGGUGGCUUCGGGUCGGUAAAGAACCCUACUCCAUUUGUUUCGCAUUAUUAUCUUUUUGUUGUUUCUGAUUCUUGUUAUUUUUAUAAUAUUUUCAUCAUCGUUGAGGUUCAUUAAGGCUAAGGAGGGGAUUGAAUGUGUGAUUUCAUUCAGUGGGGAUAACAUUAAGGUUGCUAUUUGGCAUCGGCACAAAACAUAAAGGAUUCCGGUAACGAUUUUUACCCUUUUUUCAUCCAAUUUUAUAGCAUGAACUUGAUCGAUCAUAUAUAACCGAUUUGUACAAACAUUUAACUAAAAAUGAACCAUAAUAUCUUAAGGUUAUUACCCCGAAUCAUUUGUUUCGUUCUUAAUUGAGUAUAGAUAUAUAUGUUUCGGUUGAAAAUGAAUGAAUGAAAAAUAUGUAUUUUUUGCAGUGUGCAUAUGAUAUUGUUACCGUGUGUAUUGAUCCCAAUGUUCGUGAUACUUGGUAAUUAAAACGCAGUACUGUUUCUUAGUUGUGUGCAUAAACAAGGUGAAUAACUUACCUGAGUCUAUGCCUUAUCCCCUUCGAAAUUUGAGUGUUAAUCCUUUUGAGUGUUUCCUGUGUAUUUGUUGUAUGUUGAGAUGUCUCGGGUCUUAUCACUGUGGUCUGUUGCAAUGUACGUGUGUUGAAUGCUCUCCUUCUUUCAGUGUGGUGAUCUCUUUAUGAAUUCUCUGUGUUUUUGUUUUCUCUAUGAUUUUCUCCCCCUUUAAGCGUAUCAUUGUAUAACUGAUGCCUUCCUGAGUGUACGCUGUGAAUUUUGAUGAUUAUGUGGUAUUGUGUAUGUAAGAUGUGUUCUCUAUUUGGGGCUAUGUAAGUGUAUGAGUAUUCUGAACGCUCUGUAACUAUGGUAUGUCCCCCUGUAUGUGUGUUAUGGAUGAUAUCAGUAUGCUUUCUCUGCUUGCUUUAUUUUCUAUAUUUGUUCUCUCUCUGAUUUCUCUCCUGGUAAUGUCUCCCCUUUUGACUGAGUGCCCCUUUUUAUACAGUUUGAAAGUAGACCCUUAGCUGCCAAUUUGUGAACCAAAAUUUAUCAUAACCUUUGCAUUUUCUGAAACUGCCCAAAGGGAAUUCAAUUACAACACUUAUGAGUUUACUGAAAUAAUAUGCUCUUCUAUGUAACCCUCAAGUGUUUCAUCUUUUGAAUUAAGCCUAUGAAUACUCCAAUCGUAACCUAUGGGGUGCACAUUAUUUCCAUUAACUUUAUCCAUCAUUGUUUCUUAAUUGCCUUUCAGUCACUAAAAAAGGUUUCCAUUGUGCAGGCACUUACACAUUCCCAUGGUUAUGGCCAAGGGAAUUAACUUUUAUCAGCAGCUUCAAAGCAAUCAUGGAAGAUACUUGAGAGUGUUCUUUUAUCUAACAAUAAUAUCCUUGCCACAAAGUUUUUUUCAGAUGAUAAUGAAGGCAGCUUUUCGUUGAGAGCAGAGUAUAGCUUUAGAGUAUAUAGGGUCUUUCCUGGUUUUGUUAAAAAUAAUAUACUAAUUUUUAUGAAUUCCUUCAGUAUGUUGAAUGUUGUAAUUCCAGAAUCUAUUAUCAUAACGCCCUCCGAGAGCUACUGAAUAAAAUCUCUGAAAUUUAAAGAUUUUUUUGUCUUUGGUGUAUUUGAAGCAUCUUUGAGGAGUUUAUGAGAUAUAAAUUUCUUUUGGGG
rnacentral:lncRNA from 1 species